ensembl:snRNA Gm25280 predicted gene, 25280
GGGGAGGGGAGAUACCAUGGUUGCAAAGGCGGUUUUCCCAGGGCGAGGCUUAUCCAUUGUACUCUGGAUUGGCUGAUCUCUGUAUUUUCCCCAAUGUGGGAAACUGGA